rnacentral:rRNA from 1 species
GAUUUUUAUGAGAUCUUAUACUCCCACGCGAAGGAGGGCGGUGAACCGAGGCUAAUGCACAUGAUGCAAAAUUUCAGAGACGCCCUUGUUGAUUGUGAAUUGGAGGACAUGGGUUGUAGUGGUGAUUUAUAUAGUUGGAGGAGGAGGAGGCUUAGAGAACGCCUCGAUAGAGCGGUAUGUAAUGGUCAGUUCCAUGAGCUUUUUCUUGAGCAAAUAUUACUAAUGCUCCACACACCAAGUCUGAUCACAGACCGAUAUUCAUUGAUACAGAGGGACAUGUACAGGGGGACCAUCAGCGAACCCAUCAGAGGUGCUUUGAAUCUAGGUGGCUGCAAGAGGAGAAUGUUAUGCAAAUUAUGUUUGAAGCUUGGGAUCGAACCAAUCCGUUGGCACCCAUUGCAGAGCGCACAUCAAGUGUACACGCCACCAUGCACGAAUGGGAUCGUUCGAUCUUGA